UUUUCUCAGAGAAAUGCUUAACUCCAAGUCAUCCAGAGUCGUGGCCAAAGCCGAUUCAAAAGACCGCUGUUUGCCGGCAGCAGCGGCCAUCUUCUUUGUUUUCAAGUAGCAGGGAAGUCACACCGAACCGUCGCAACU